rfam:Schistosoma curassoni strain Dakar, Senegal genome assembly, scaffold: SCTD_scaffold0001116
GCACUGCUGAGGACUCCCAUACUAGGACGAAACGGCCGUCCAGUGU